UGAAAGAGAAACAACAGACAAAUUAACAAUGGUAUUGUUCACGAAUGGUCAACUGUCAGUUAUUUCAAUGUCUGCAUUCGACAGGAUUGUUUUCUUGUUGUUCUACUUGAGGUGAAGGCCAUUCUGACUAAAAAGUUAUUUGUGUUUCUGGAACGGAAGGAAAUAUAUGCAGGAUCAAGAUCGUCCGUAUCCAACACGACAGUACACGCACUUAUGUCUUAUUGUUUUCAUUUUCGUUACUCUUUAUCCAGUAGAGUACAGUCAUUUAACCAUGCAGUCCUUUGAUUGAUGAGGAAUGUAUUUGCGAAUAAUACAGCUGUAUUUGUGACUAAACUGUAUUUGCGACUGUACUUCCAUUAAUAUAAUAACGGUAAUUUUAGGCUGGGUGAUUGUUGAAGAACUAUGCGCAGCGAAAUGCUCCCAGUAUUUUAUUAAAAGAACAUAUGUACGGAACUGUUACAUAGCUAUACGCGUAUAGUCCGA